UUUUUAUAACACAGGGUGUAGAUCAAAGUAUUUCCACCGUGGGCAGCGUACAAUGUGACCGGAUCAUUCACCAACCUAUAAAUUAUGUGCCAACAAUUGGUAGCUCUGUUGGUAGUUUCAAUAUGACUGAGACUCAAUUUCCACCAUUAUUGGCAUCACAACUUUCUCAGGUGCAAUCCCCAUUUGUGCAAUUUGCUAGACCACCUCGUGCGGAUUCCUCUCCUUAGACAGUAACGAUCUCGUAUGUGCCUAUGUCUAUUUAUAUGUGCACCUGAAAUACUAGUUAAUUUAUUGAUAUGAUUUCCUUUCUUGACAGGUUCCAAAUACUUUAGGUUCCAACUAAUCUAUUGUUUAGUUGCUUUGUGAACAGGGAGUUUGGUUCAUUAAGAAAUUUUAGAAAUAAAUCUCUGUUUGAACUGAGAACAUCCAGCUUUGUGAACAGGCAAGUACUAUUUUUAUCUCGUUCUGAUUACCUUCACAGCUUCCCCUCUUUUGAGUUGAUUUAUGCCAAACUUCAUUUGCACCAUCUUGUUCUUUUCGAUGAUCAGCUUGAUGAGACUGAG